CAGAACGAACGCUGGCGGCAUGCCUAACACAUGCAAGUCGAACGAGACCUUCGGGUCUAGUGGCGCACGGGUGCGUAACACGUGGGAAUUUGCCUCGGGGUAUGGAAUAACUCAGGGAAACUUGAGCUAAUACCAUAUAAUGUCUUCGGACCAAAGAUUUAUCGCCCUGAGAUAAGCCCGCGUAGGAUUAGCUAGUUGGUGAGGUAAAGGCUCACCAAGGCGACGAUCCUUAGCUGGUCUGAGAGGAUGAUCAGCCACACUGGGACUGAGACACGGCCCAGACUCCUACGGGAGGCAGCAGUGGGGAAUAUUGGACAAUGGGCGAAAGCCUGAUCCAGCAAUGCCGCGUGAGUGAUGAAGGCCUUCGGGUUGUAAAGCUCUUUUACUCGGGACGAUAAUGACGGUACCGAGAGAAUAAGCCCCGGCUAACUCCGUG
rnacentral:rRNA from 1 species